rnacentral:lncRNA from 1 species
CUCUUCUUCUUCCGCUUGGAUCUCUAAAGCUAUCUAACUUUUUUUUUUAAUUUUUUCUUGACUUUCUACUGAAUUUUUCUUCUCUCCACUCUUAUUCCCAGACCUCCUAUUUAUAGAUAAAUUUUUUAUUUUUUUCUGAUCACCAAAGGAGUCUUAAAACUCUUAGAAAUCAUAUUAUACUCGUAUAAAUUAAUUCUGAUCAUUAGAUCUUCAAUGGACCAUUC